UACAGAGGUCUCAAGCGUUGUUCGGAUUCGUUGGGCGUAAAGGGUGCGUAGGUGGCGGGGUAAGUCAGGUGUGAAAUCUCGAGGCUCAACCUCGAAACUGCACUUGAUACUGCCUUGCUCGAGUACUGGAGAGGAGAUUGGAAUUUACGGUGUAGCAGUGAAAUGCGUAGAUAUCGUAAGGAAGACCAGUGGCGAAGGCGAAUCUCUGGACAGUUACUGACACUGAGGCACGAAGGCCAGGGGAGCAAACGGG
rnacentral:rRNA from 1 species